AGAAUCAACGCUGGCGGCGUGCCUAACACAUGCAAGUCGAACGAGAAAGUGGAGCAAUCCAUGAGUAAAGUGGCGCACGGGUGAGUAACACGUGACUAACCUACCCUUGAGUGGGGGAUAACCUAGGGAAACCUGGGCUAAUACCGCAUAAUACCUUCGGGUCAAAGGAGCAAUUCGCUUAAGGAGGGGGUCGCGGCCGAUUAGUUAGUUGGCGGGGUAAUGGCCCACCAAGACUGUGAUCGGUAUCCGGCCCGAGAGGGCGCACGGACACACUGGAACUGAAACACGGUCCAGACUCCUACGGGAGGCAGCAGUGGGGAAUUUUGCGCAAUGGGGGAAACCCUGACGCAGCAACGCCGCGUGGAGGAUGAAGUCCCUUGGGACGUAAACUCCUUUCGAUCGGGACGAUAAUGACGGUACCGAGAGAAGAAGCCCCGGCUAACUUCGUGCCAGCAGCCGC
rnacentral:rRNA from 1 species